rnacentral:lncRNA from 1 species
GAAAGGCAAUAAAACUAUAGAAAUCGUCUUUCUAAAGAACGAGUCACAAACAAUGAUCAUUUUUGUUUCUGAUUUGUUUCUGAAAGCCAAUUACAAAACAUGAUCAUUUUAGGUACAGUAGGUAUUUAUCCAAAUCUCACGCUCCACUGCACAGCACUCAAAUUUGUUUUUCAAAACAAGACAAAAAAUUUAAGCCACAUUGCUUUCUUUUGAACAACUUAUAUUUACAAGUUUAAAGGUGGGUUUCAAUAAGGUUUUUUGUAAAUGGAUAUUUCAAGCGGAACUUUAUAACAAUUUCCAGAUCGAUACAUAGACCCAUUGCACAUGACGUCACAGCGCCGGUGACGAUGCAUCUGGAGGAUAACCUGAAGUUCAGGCCCUAUCACAGAAUAGGGCCUGACACAAAACCUAUCUAAAGUGUGGGAUUCCCGUCCACCUGGUGGACGGGAAAUCUGAUUGGUUGAUCAGCAUCAUGAAGGAUUUUGAUUGGUUGCAAGUUCACAUAAACAACAGUUUUAAAAAUAGCUCGGUCAAGGCGAGAAUUAAUAUAAAGGUCAAACGCACGUAACAAAUUCCAUUAUCGAUUUCUCCGAAUUUCUUUUCUUUUAUGCUUUAUGGAAGAAAUAAAUCAAACAAACAGUAUUUUGAAAGGGCUUCAUCAAAAUCUUUGACGAAUUUUGGACACACACGACGCUGAAAGAACAGCCAAACUAGUCCUGUAUUCGAAAGCUUGUUGUUGACAGCCAAGAUGUUCUGCCAACUUGCUUCGCCGGCAAAAGUCUUAUUUUUAAUAUCAGGUCCUACCGGCGUUGUUUUCUGAGCUACAUCGCCUUCUUCGUGGUAUGAUUGAGAAUUUAGUUGUUGCUGUUAUUAGCCCGUUAGUCGUUAGAGUAUAUCCGCGUCCAGCAAGUUGAGACCUUGAGAAAGCUUGGCAGUCAAGCCGUGCACAGAACUGACUAAUUAAAUCUUUGUUUGCUGUUCGCCUGUUCGGUUAAAUAGAGAAACUGACUCUUAAUUAUAUAAAAGUACCUUGAAUUUUUAAGUUUAAUUAAAAAGCAAAAUGCUCUGCGGACAUGUUCAUGAGAAUAUAAUUUUUUUGUGUAACGAAAUCUACAACACUUGUCAAUCAUAUUGCAUGUGUGUCUAAAAAUAAAUGUGGGCGUCCCACGGUCUAGACAGGUUUUGUGUCAGGCCCUAUUUCAAAUUAGGGCCUGAACUUCAGGUUAUCUGGAGGACAAAUUAGCAAUCUAUGCAUAAUAUAACUUUUGUAAACAAAGCAAAUUUUGUAAAACCUUAUAAUAAUUUUGUAUUAAAAUGGUUAAUUUUUGCGCUGUAUGUGGUUGUUGUACCCGAACAGAUAUUGUUAGGGAGCAUCUGGAGGACACUCUAAGGAUUUGUGACGUCAGUGCAAUGGGUCUAUUAGGCCCUCUAGCAGGAAUAGAAACUGUGGCACUGCGAUACGGGUCAGUUAGUUAGAGCACUGCACCGGAAUCACAGGCACAGGAUGAAGACACCCUGGAGUCGGCUGUUCGAAUCUGGGUUAGCGCUAACCCUUGUUUAAAA